UGGGACGUUGCGAGUUUUCUGAGAGCUGGCUUGCCAGCCCAAAAUAUAAGAACGGGCUUGACCCAGACCCCAAAACUGAUAAGAGAGAUAUGUGUAAGUUGUGUGUACGAUCAUUUGACAUAGCAAACAUGGGUGAAGCGGUGAUAGUCAGUCAUACUGAAGGGAAUAAACACGAAGAGCGCGAGAAAGUAUCAUGAAUGUAGCCGGUGACGUCGUUCUAUGUAUCUUCAACACCCGCGUCUGCAGCCUCCUCAUCAUCAACACCCUCUUCAGCGACAAUAGACACGCAUGAUGCAAGGACACUGGACCCUCAGUAGAUGCUUGAGGACACUGACCAUUGGUAAAAGGAAGAGAAGGGCCAAUAGUUUCGCAAGCAGCACCUCCUCCAAUCAGCGGUGGCAGCACCUACAGGGCCCGACCCACCACUCCACCCCGAUCCGCACAGAUAACCCAGAAAAACGUCCAGCCUGAUGAAGUCAUGGGAAGUCAUGAUUACUAGCACGAUCCAGAGCUGCAGACGCAGGCCAGCAUUAAACCCGGACACCAGCACUUCACCUUCCACAAGCACUUAAUUCACGCACCGUAGGAUCUGUGUCUGUGGCUUUGUGUUUUGUGUGGGUGAUAAAACUGGACUUUUUGGUUGCAGGUCAAACCCGUGGGAUUUUACAAACCGAAGUGAUACACGCCGCUGUAAUCACUUCCAUCAUUAUUAUUUACAGGUGUUUGCCGUAAGGCUCUGCACAUUGUAGUAAUUUA